CAAAUAUUUCAUUAUAAAAAAACAAGAUAUCCUGAAUCAAAAGAAAAUUUUCAUGAAAAAUUAUUCGUUUUCUAUUUGGAUCUAAUAUGAAGAAAUAUAGUGCAGACCGUUGCAUUUUCCAACAAUAUCAUUCAGGCCACUUUUGCGAUGAAAUAUCGAACACUAAUGUAAUUGACCAGAUGCUGACUUAUCAGAACCGCCAGCAUACAGAAUAUCUCAAUGCAACCGGAACUCAGAAAAACCGUCCUCUCAUCGGCAUCUUUUUAUCAUCUCGAUCUAUUCUAAACCAACUCGAUUACAUGUCGAUAAACGGAAAUGGAGCGAUUCGAAUGAGAAUUUAAUGAUUCACCAUCGUUUUUCUAAAUAAAAAACAAAGUAGAAAGUUGUCAAACAUGUUACAAGUUAUCAAACUACAAUCCAUAUUUGUACGUUUUUGUAAUCACGAGGGAAAUCGCGAUUACGUAGGUUCAGUAGUAAGCAUACGUUUCCUUGACGUUUAGUCCAGUUUUGCAUCCGGCACAGGUACAUACUGGGGAAAGGUCGAGCUACCGACCUGAAUAUGUUGAUGGUUACGCAAUAAUUCGUGCACUGAAUAUGUUUUUUAUAACUGAUGUAUGUAUAUAUAUUUUAAAACUAAUCAACUUGGAAUCAAAAAU